rnacentral:rRNA from 1 species
UACGUAGGGUGCGAGCGUUAAUCGGAAUUACUGGGCGUAAAGCGUGCGCAGGCGGUUUUGUAAACCAGAUGUGAAAUCCCCGGGCUUAACCUGGGAAUGGCAUUUGGGACUGCAAGGCUGGAGUUUGGCAGAGGAGACUGGAAUUCCUGGUGUAGCAGUGAAAUGCGUAGAUAUCAGGAGGAAUACCGAUGGCGAAGGCAGGUCUCUGGGCUGAAACUGACGCUCAUGCACGAAAGCGUGGGGAGCAAACAGG